UUACGAUCACAUCACAUUGAAACACCGAUUCUCGUACGAUCACUGAAGUUAAGCAACGUCGAACCUGGACAGUACAUACAUAGGUGACCGGUCGGGAAUACCAGCUGUUGUAAG